AAUCUCUACAGCGAUGUGUCGUCGAUUGAAUCCUAGGGUUCCUCAUCUUCUCCUUUCGUUUUUCUGUAGCUCGAUUCUUCUCAGCUCGCUUCCAGAAUUGAUUACAGCGGCGGUUGUAACACUAGAUUCGAUCGAGAUAUAUAAUACUCAUGAGUUUUUCGGAUCAUCACCGGAAGUUUAUUUUAAGUGUAAAGGUGAAAAUAGAACAAUAUAUUUGCCUGAUGUGAAGAAGAAACAUGAGUUGUAUAUCUUCAAGGGAGAAGAGUCUUGGCAGCCUCUGACAGAACUUGAAGAAAAGAAGUGCAAACGAUGUGGGAUAUAUGAGAAGGACUCAUUUGUAAAGCCUGAUGAUAUAUUUGAUGAAUGGGAGUUCUGUGCAUCUGAUUUUACUAGUGCUGAUGGGAAGUAUAUUCAUUUCAAGGAGAAAGAGUUCAAUGCCACAUUUUUGUGUCCAGACUGUCUCCCUCUUGAAGUAGCUUCUAAUCACACCGAUGUCCCACGGAAUAAGGAAAAGGGAAUGCACUGGGCUCUAGUGUUGCUCAUCUGUGUCUUAGUGACUACUUUUAUAGUUUUUGGAGCAGUAAGUGCCUACAAAUAUUGGCAAAAGAGAAAGAAACAACAAGAGCAAGCUCGAUUCUUGAAGCUGUUCGAGGAGAGCGAUGACAUAGAGGACGAAUUGGGCAUUGGACCACUUAGUCAUGUCAUUUAGGUAGAAAAGAAAUGGUAUACCCUAAAACACUUGUACAUUGCUUUUUGGUUUCAAU
rnacentral:misc_RNA from 1 species